GAUGAACGCUGGCGGCGUGCCUAAUACAUGCAAGUCGAGCGAACGGACGAGAAGCUUGCUUCUCUGAUGUUAGCGGCGGACGGGUGAGUAACACGUGGAUAACCUACCUAUAAGACUGGGAUAACUGCGGGAAACCGGAGCUAAUACCGGAUGAUAUUUUGAACCGCAUGGUUCAAAAGUGAAAGACGGUCUUGCUGUCACUUAUAGAUGGAUCCGCGCUGCAUUAGCUAGUUGGUAAAGUAACGGCUUACCAAGGCAACGAUGCAUAGCCGACCUGAGAGGGUGAUCGGCCACACUGGAACUGAGACACGGUCCAGACUCCUACGGGAGGCAGCAGUAGGGAAUCUUCCGCAAUGGGCGAAAGCCUGACGGAGCAACGCCGCGUGAGUGAUGAAGGUCUUCGGAUCGUAAAACUCUGUUAUUAGGGAAGAACAUAUGUGUAAGUAACUGUGCACAUCUUGACGGUACCUAAUCAGAAAGCCACGGCUAACUACGUG
rnacentral:rRNA from 1 species